rnacentral:rRNA from 1 species
AAUGAACGCUGGCGGCAGGCCUAACACAUGCAAGUCGAACGGGAUCUUCGGAUCUAGUGGCGGACGGGUGAGUAACGCGUGGGAACGUGCCCUUUGCUUCGGAAUAGCCCCGGGAAACUGGGAGUAAUACCGGAUGUGCCCUUUGGGGGAAAGAUUUAUCGGCAAAGGAUCGGCCCGCGUUGGAUUAGGUAGUUGGNGGGGUAAUGGCCUACCAAGCCGACGAUCCAUAGCUGGUUUGAGAGGAUGAUCAGCCACACUGGGACUGAGACACGGCCCAGACUCCUACGGGAGGCAGCAGUGGGGAAUAUUGCACAAUGGGCGCAAGCCUGAUGCAGCAACGCCGCGUGAGGGAUGACGGCC